AUAUACUCUUUAUAACUCUCAUGCAGUAAACCCUAACCAUAAUAGAGAUGGCAGCCGCCAUCACCCUUCUUCUCCAUUAUCCGGCGCCGCCACCCCGUAACCUCCAUGUAUAUAGCUGCUGUGAAUCGAUGCAUCCCAGCCGCCGCUUCAUCGUCUCAUCAUAACCGACGUCGUGAGCCUCCAGCCGAGCAAAGCUUUACCGUCGCUAUCCUCUGUCAUCGAAGCGGUGAACCUCAGGGACCAACGAACUCCGUUACCCCAUUAUUCGGCGUAACAACAACACUCCCCUUCACCUUCUUCUGCUGCUUCACGGUCGCCGUCAGCCAUUCUAGGCGGCGGUACGGCUGACGCUGCUUCCCGGCACAUGGUUGAUGUCGUCAUGCUCCUACCGCCAAUCAUAGCGCCAUUGUUGCUACUGAGUCGUAUGCCUCAGAGGUGAAUUAAUUAGUUUGCGAGCAAGGUGGGUCCGUGAGCAAGCCUCUUCUGUUGUGUGCGUAUUUUGAUGUAUGUGCUCAUGUGUUGCGAUGGAAUAGAGCUGCUGGAGCGACUUCUGCUAUCUACGUAUUGUGAGGUAGUGGCUGCCACCAUGAGCCACCACCAUCCGCCACUAGUUUGGGAAUCUGUCAAUCAGCAGCUGGAGUUGUAUCAACGGGACUUCAGUAGUGCCAGGUGAGUUAUCCUCACUAUACUAAGGGGUCUAAUGCACCAAGGUCGGCCCAUUGGAUUUGAUAUAUUAGUAGUUACUGAUAGGUUGACUUUGAGUUAGUAAUGUAUGCCAAUUGUUAUGCUAGUUUGGUAGGUCGGUAGGACUACAUGUGAUACUAAUUGAUUACCUGUAUGUGCAUUUAUAUGUUACAUGUCGACAUGUUAUGUGGGAUGGGUUGAGGUGGUACUGCUCCGUGCGGUAGCCAACAUACCCUAGAGUAUUCCAGAUAUGAGCUGAGGGCCCGGUAGGCAUUCCAGACGCAUACUGAGGACUCGAGAGCAUUCUAGAUACGAACUGAGGGCCUAGUAGGCAUUCCAGACUCGUACUGAGGGCUCGGUAGCAAUCCAGGUGUGAGCUGAGGAACCGGUACUUCAGAGGAUCGUGGCAAGGAAAAUGCGUGAUCGUACAGCUCCUCACUUUUUAUGAAUUUGUUUAUAGGAUACUCUGAUAUGAUACAUUUUGAAAACAAGUUUGUAAUGUUUAAUGGAUUUGAAAUGUUUUUAAAAGUUUAAAUUGGCUUGAAUUUUCGGGUGUUACAAGAAGAAGGAGGACGAGAAAGACGAAGCCUACUAUCUUCGGAAGAUAGAGUAUUUGAAGAAAAAGAAUGUUGGGAACACGAAGCUUGCUUUGAUUGUGUAGGAAGGUGGUGAUGAAUUUGGUAGUGUUGAAGUAUGGUCCAUUGAUUCCGAAGAUGAUGAGGUUCGGAAGCCCACACAUGGUGGAUGUUUUUUUGCGAAGUUUGAAGCUCUGGAUUAUGAAGGAAAGUGUCUGAUGGUUCAGAGUGGGGUCUCGGAACAGAGCGGAUACACAACUGAUGGCGGAGAUCCUUCUAAUAAUUGUUUUGCUACGAGGCCUGUUUCUGAACACGUGAGUGAAUGCGAGAAGGUCAUCAGUAAGCGACAGUUUAAAGAGAACUCGUCUAAGCAAUUCUGACCUAAGUGAUCAUAUCGGAAGGAUAACAAAUAAAUGUGUAGAGAGGAGAAUAUGGAUAGAGAAGCUGGAGUUAUAGCUUAAUAGGUCAAAGGAUGAUGUUAUUUAUCUGAAGAGAGACAAUUUAGCACUUUUAAAACAAAGGAAUAUUUUCUAUUUAAUUGCGAAGCGGUUAUAUUUUAAGAUUACUUGACUGCAUCUUGAUUGUGACAUAGGUAAAAAUAUACACAAAAUGAUUUUACCCUUUCUCGAUUUGAAAGAGAAUGAAAUC